rnacentral:rRNA from 1 species
GACGAACGCUGGCGGCGUGCUUAACACAUGCGAGUCGAACGGUGAAGGGACCGGUUUUUGCUGGUUCUGGAUGAGUGGCGAACGGGUGAGUAACACGUGAGUAACCUGCCCCCUUCUUCUGGAUAACCGCAUGAAAGUGUGGCUAAUACGGGAUAUUCUGCGCCUGCUGCAUGGUGGGUGUGGGAAAGAUAUUGUUUCGGUGGGGGAUGGGCUCGCGGCCUAUCAGCUUGUUGGUGGGGUGAUGGCCUACCAAGGCGGUGACGGGUAGCCGGCCUGAGAGGGUGGACGGUCACACUGGGACUGAGACACGGCCCAGACUCCUACGGGAGGCAGCAGUGGGGAAUAUUGCACAAUGGGCGCAAGCCUGAUGCAGCGACGCCGCGUGAGGGAUGGAGGCCUUCGGGUUGUAAACCUCUUUCGCCAGUGAAGCAGGCCUGUCCCUUUUGUGGGUGGGUUGACGGUAGCUGGAGAAGAAGCGCCGGCUAACUACGUG